CAGCUCGUUGGUGGGGUAAGAGCCUACCAAGGCGACGAUCGGUAGCUGGUCUGAGAGGACGAGCAGCCACACUGGGAUUGAGAACGGCCCAGACUCCUACGGGGGGCAGCAGUGAGGAAUUUUCGGCAAUGGAGGCAACUCUGACCGAGCAACGCCGCGUGCAGGAAGACGGUCUUCGGAUUGUAAACUGCUUUACUGGGGGAAGAGCAAGGACGGUACCCCAGCAAUCAGCCCCGGCUAACUACGUGCCAGCAGCCGCGGUAAUACGUAGGGGGCAAGCGUUGUCCGGAGUUACUGGGCGUAAAGCGCACGCAGGCGGCCCAGCGCGUUGGCGGUGCCAGUUCCUCGCUUACCGAGGAGAGUGUCGCCAAGACGGCUGGGCUUGAGAGCCUCAGAGGAACCUAGAAUUCCGGGUGGAGUGGUGAAAUGCGUAGAGAUCCGGAGGAAUACCAAAGGCGCAGGCAGGGUUCUGGGAGGCGACUGACGCUGAGGUGCGAAAGCCAGGGGAGCGAACGGGAUUAGAUACCCCGGUAGUCCUGGCCGUAAACGAUGACCACCAGUGUGGGAGGUAUCGACCCCUUCCGUGCCGACGCAAACGCAUUAAGUGGUCCGCCUGGGGAGUACGGUCGCAAGAU
rnacentral:rRNA from 1 species